AUACGAAGGGCCCGAGCGUUGCGCGGAAUUACUGGGCUUAAAGGGUGCGUAGGCGGAUAUGUAAGUGUCUUGUGAAAUCCCAUGGCUCAACCAUGGAACUGCUUGGCAAACUACAUAUCUUGAGCCCGACAGAGGCGAUCAGAACUCUAGGUGGAGCGGUGAAAUGCGUAGAUAUCUAGAGGAAUGCCAAUGGUGAAGACAGAUCGCUGGGUCGGUGCUGACGCUGAGGCACGAAAGCGUGGGUAGCGAACGGGAUUAGAUACCCCAGUAGUCC
rnacentral:rRNA from 1 species